GACGAACGCUGGCGGCGUGCUUAACACAUGCAAGUCGAACGGUAAGGCCCUUCGGGGUACACGAGUGGCGAACGGGUGAGUAACACGUGGGUGAUCUGCCCUGCACUUCGGGAUAAGCCUGGGAAACUGGGUCUAAUACCGGAUAGGACCAUUGCCUGCAUGGGUGGUGGUGGAAAGCUUUUGCGGUGUGGGAUGGGCCCGCGGCCUAUCCGCUUGUUGGGGGGGUGAUGGCCUACCAAGGCGACGACGGGUAGCCGGCCUGUGAGGGUGACCGGCCACACUGGGACUGAGAUACGGCCCAGACUCCUACGGGAGGCAGCAGUGGGGAAUAUUGCACAAUGGGCGCAAGCCUGAUGCAGCGACGCCGCGUGAGGGAUGACGGCCUUCGGGUUGUAAACCUCUUUCAGCACCGACGAAGCGCAAGUGACGGUAGGUGCAGAAGAAGGACCGGCCAACUACGUGCCAGCAGCCGCCGUAA
rnacentral:rRNA from 1 species